GCCCUGUAAGCAGGGCAGGGCUUUUCCUGACCCCCAGCCCGCCCUGUAAGCAGGGCAGGGCUUUUCCCCCUGGCACCUUUGUGCCUGCUUAUGGCCCCUGGCCAGAGUGACCCCCUGUAGCUGGGGCGUGUCACGGCCUUGGUCCCUGGGCCAGUUGUGAAGCCCCUCCGUGUGCUGAGGCCCCGCUGGCCUCUGCAGAGCCCGGGGCAGGGCUGAGGCUCUGCUCUCCUGCCCAGAGGGAGGGAUGGCUCCCCACGCGUUGGCUGCACAGAGCCUGCUCCCUCUUCUGGGACGUUCCCCCUUUGUGUUUUUGUCUUUGUCGGUGUGAGUGAGCAAGCAAGUGAGCUUGUGUUUUAUCCCCCCUAGCAAAAGUGAGGCUAGUGUAGCUUAGACUUCCCAGGAGGGAAAGAGGGGCUCUGUGCAGCAGCCGGGGGGUGCCCUCUGAACCCACGGGUGGAGACAGGGCCCAGCCUUGCCCCUUCUUCCCCAGGACAGAGCGAAGCCCAUUAGUGGUGGUGCAGGCACCGUGACCCGCCUGUAGCCAGGGCCUGGGCGUGUGCCUGCGCUGCGGGGCUGCCUGUCCUGCUGGUGAUGUGCCAGCGUGAUCCCCCCCCGGCCUUAGGCCGUCAGGCCACUGUUGGGAGUGCCGGGCCUCGGGGGCGGCCCUGUAAGUGGGGCUUUGUGCGUCCCCCGUGCCCGGCGGGCGGUUGGAGGGACCCUCUGUAACCAGGCGGGUGUCCCGUGGGGUCCCCACCCUUUCACAGGCGUGGGGCUGGGCGUGUGCCCUCCCUGUCCUCGGGGGAAGGCCGAGCUCCGUGGCUCCCUGGGUGUGAACCCGCCUGUAAGCAGGGUCCGGGUCUGGGAGCCUUUGUGCUCCCUCAGCUUGCAGCCUGUGCGGGGCGACCGCCCCGUUAGCGGGGAGCGGGUCAGGUGCCCCCGAAGCGGAGAGAAGGAGCCUCCGCGAGCCUUUGGGCCCAGGGCUGCCCUGUAAGUCGGGGCCAGUGCCCUGGAGUCCCGGGCACUUUGUGCUCCAAGCAGCGGCCGGAGCCCCCUGUAAGCAGGGGUGCAGCCUCUUUGGCCACUGCUUUGCCUGCCCAGCUGCCUUUGCCCAGAGGGCCCGGCUCCCAGCAGCGGAUGGGACUGCGUCGCUCUGAAGCCGUCGGAGAAGAAAGAAGAGACAGGACUGGAACUUCGAGGCAAGAGCGAAGAAGAGGAGCAGCAGCGUCGAGCUCAAGAGUGGACCAGCGAGGCAAGAGCCAAGGAGAGGAACAGCAGCGUCGAGCUCAAGAGGGGGCACGACAGAGA